GAUGAACGCUGGCGGCGUGCCUAAUACAUGCAAGUCGAGCGAACGGACGAGAAGCUUGCUUCUCUGAUGUUAGCGGCGGACGGGUGAGUAACACGUGGAUAACCUACCUAUAAGACUGGGAUAACUUCGGGAAACCGUAGCUGAUACCGGAUAAUAUUUUGAACCGCAUGGUUCAAAAGUGAAAGACGGUCUUGCUGUCACUUAUAGAUGGAUACGCGCUGCAUUAGCUAGUUGGUAAGGUAACGGCUUACCAAGGCAACGAUGCAUAGCCGACCUGAGAGGGUGAUCGGCCACACUGGAACUGAGACACGGUCCAGACUCCUACGGGAGGCAGCAGUAGGGAAUCUUCCGCAAUGGGCGAAAGCCUGACGGAGUAACGCCGCGUGAGUGAUGAAGGUCUUCGGAUCGUAAAACUCUGUUAUUAGGGAAGAACAUAUGUGUAAGUAACUGUGCACAUCUUGACGGUACCUAAUCAGAAAGCCACGGCUAACUACGUG
rnacentral:rRNA from 1 species